AGUGAACGCUGGCGGUAGGCCUAACACAUGCAAGUCGAACGGCAGCACAGUAAGAGCUUGCUCUUACGGGUGGCGAGUGGCGGACGGGUGAGGAAUACAUCGGAAUCUACUUUUUCGUGGGGGAUAACGUAGGGAAACUUACGCUAAUACCUCAUACGACCUACGGGUGAAAGCAGGGGAUCUUCGGACCUUGCGCGAUUGAAUGAGCCGAUGUCGGAUUAGCUAGUUGGCGGGGUAAAGGCCCACCAAGGCGACGAUCCGUAGCUGGUCUGAGAGGAGGAUCAGCCACACUGGAGCUGAGACACGGUCCAGGCUCCUACGGGAGGCAGCAGUGGGGAAUAUUGGACAAUGGGCGCAAGCCUGAUCCAGCCAUACCGCGUGGGUGAAGAAGGCCUUCGGGUUGUAAAGCCCUUUUGUUGGGAAAGAAAAGCAGCAGGUUAAUACCCCGCUGUUCUGACGGUACCCAAAGAAUAAGCACCGGCUAACUUCGUG
rnacentral:rRNA from 1 species